GGACUACUCGGGUUUCUAAUCCUGUUUGCUACCCACGCUUUCGUGCCUCAGCGUCAGAAGUGGUCCAGAAAGCCGUUUACACCACCGGUGUUCCUCCUGAUAUCUACGCAUUUCACCGCUACACCAGGAAUUCCACUUUCCUCUCCCACCCUCUAGCCCCACAGUCUAUAGCGCACCCUCCCAGUUAAGCCGGGAGAUUUCACACCAUACUUAUAGAGCCGCCUACGCACCCUUUACGCCCAGUAACUCCGAACAACGCUUGCUGCCUACGUAUUACCGCGGCGGCUGGCAC
rnacentral:rRNA from 1 species